CCUGCCCAGUGAAUAAUUAAACGGCCGCGGUACCCUAACCGUGCAAAGGUAGCGUAAUCAUUUGUCUAUUAAUUGUAGACCCGUAUGAAAGGCAUAAUGAGGGUUUAACUGUCUCUUUUAGUAAAUCAAUUAAACUGAUCUCCUAGUCCAAAAGCUAGGAUACCAACAUAAGACCAGAAGACCCUGUGAAACUUUAACUAAAAUAUUAAAGCCUAUAAUAACUACUUUAGGUUGGGGCGACCUUGGAAAAUAAAAGAACUUCCACACACAUAUUAUAUAAUAAUAUAUAACCGGCCAACAAGCCUACAACGACCCAGCACAGCUGACAAUUGAACCAAGCUACUCCAGGGAUAACAGCGCUAUCUUCUUCAAGAGCCCAUAUCAAAAAGAAGGUUUACGACCUCGAUGUUGGAUCAGGACAUCCUAAUGGUGCAACCGCUAUUAAGGGUUCGUUUGUUCAACGAUUAAUAGUCCUACGU
rnacentral:rRNA from 1 species